UUUCGUCAUUGACGCAUCGAUCAACAUUGCUCCGCGUUUUACGCGUCUUGCCUGUCGAAAGUGAGUCUCACACACGGAAAUAAGUAUCAGGGGUGUCGAGUAUAGCGAUGUGCGAUCGUCCGAACGUUAUUGAUUUGUCAGAGAUUCAAGUAUCGAUGGACGCGGAUGCCGUACCGGAGGUACCGGUUCGGGCCAGGCGGGGACGACUCGAAGAUUUGUCAGGUUAAAGUCCAUGAUGGGUACAGUUUCGAUGGACGUAGAUGCCGUGCCGGUUCGGGUUAAGCGGGGACGACUCUAAGAUUUGUCAGCAUUUGAGGCCAUGAUGUGUGCAGUUUCGAUGGACGUAGAUGCUGUACCGGAGGAGCCGGUUCGGGCCAAGUAGGGUCGGCUCGAAGAUUUGUAGCGAAACGUGGCCGGCCCUAACUUCUUGGUAUUUCGGUGAGUCUAAGAAAGAAGAAAUAUGAAAAAUUAAAAAGUUUUUUUGGUGAUAAAUGAUAUUAAACAAAAUCAAUGCGAUUUACCUACACUGAG